rnacentral:rRNA from 1 species
GUGGGGAAUAUUGCACAAUGGGGGAAACCCUGAUGCAGCGACGCCGCGUGAGUGAAGAAGUAUUUCGGUACGUAAAGCUCUAUCAGCAAGGAAGAAAAUGACGGUACUUGACUAAGAAGCCCCGGCUAACUACGUGCCAGCAGCCGCGGUAAUACGUAGGGGGCAAGCGUUAUCCGGAUUUACUGGGUGUAAAGGGAGCGUAGACGGUAGGGUAAGUCAGAUGUGAAAGCCCGGGGCUCAACCCCGGGACUGCAUUUGAAACUAUCAGACUGGAGUGCAGGAGAGGUAAGUGGAAUUCCUAGUGUAGCGGUGAAAUGCGUAGAUAUUAGGAGGAACACCAGUGGCGAAGGCGGCUUACUGGACUGUAACUGACGUUGAGGCUCGAAAGCGUGGGGGGCAAACAGGAUUAGAUACCCGUGUAGUCC